UACGUAGGGACCAAGCGUUGUUCGGAUUUACUGGGCGUAAAGCGCGUGUAGGCGGUUGUUCAAGUCAGGUGUGAAAGCCUUGAGCUCAACUCAAGAAAUGCACUUGAUACUGGAUGACUAGAGGACCGGAGAGGAUAGUGGAAUUCCCAGUGUAGUGGUGAAAUACGUAGAGAUUGGGAAGAACACCAGUGGCGAAGGCGGCUAUCUGGACGGUUUCUGACGCUAAGACGCGAAAGCGUGGGGAGCAAACAGG
rnacentral:rRNA from 1 species